rnacentral:rRNA from 1 species
AACGAACGCUGGCGGCAGGCCUAACACAUGCAAGUCGAGCGAGACCUUCGGGUCUAGCGGCGGACGGGUUAGUAACGCGUGGGAACGUGCCCUUCUCUGCGGAACAGCCACUGGAAACGGUGAGUAAUACCGCAUACGCCCUUCGGGGGAAAGAUUUAUCGGAGGAGGAUCGGCCCGCGUUAGAUUAGAUAGUUGGUGGGGUAACGGCCUACCAAGUCUACGAUCUAUAGCUGGUUUUAGAGGAUGAUCAGCAACACUGGGACUGAGACACGGCCCAGACUCCUACGGGAGGCAGCAGUGGGGAAUCUUGGACAAUGGGCGCAAGCCUGAUCCAGCCAUGCCGCGUGAGUGAUGAAGGCCUUAGGGUCGUAAAGCUCUUUCGCCAGAGAUGAUAAUGACAGUAUCUGGUAAAGAAGUCCCGGCUAACUCCGUG